AUUGAACGCUGGCGGCAGGCCUAACACAUGCAAGUCGAACGAGUCGCAGACGGGUGAAUAAUCUCUGAGAAACUGCCUGAUGGGGGGGGAUAACUACGAGAAAGUGUAUCUAAUAGCACAUACCAUCAUAUGUGCCCAGGGGGGAUUAGCUUGUGGGUGGGGUAACGGCUCACCUAGGCGACGAUCCCUAGCUGGUCUGAGAGGAUGACCAGCCACACUGGAACUGAGACACGGUCCAGACUCCUACGGGAGGCAGCAGUGGGGAAUAUUGCACAAUGGGCGCAAGCCUGAUGCAGCCAUGCCGCGUGUAUGAAGAAGGCCUUCGGGUUGUAAAGGACUUUCAGCGGGGAGGCGUUACCCGCAGAAGAAGCACCGGCUAACUCCGUGCCAGCAGCCGCGGUAAUUC
rnacentral:rRNA from 1 species